GCCCGCAUGGCCUAAUGGCUAUGGUGUCCCACUCGUACCACAACAACCAUCUUCGAUACGUUUAAUGGGGUGAUUCCCGGUUCAAUUCCGGGUGUGGACA